GACGAACGCUGGCGGCGUGCUUAACACAUGCAAGUCGAACGGAAAGGCCCUGCUUUUGUGGGGUGCUCGAGUGGCGAACGGGUGAGUAACACGUGAGUAACCUGCCCUUGACUUUGGGAUAACUUCAGGAAACUGGGGCUAAUACCGGAUAGGAGCUCCUGCUGCAUGGUGGGGGUUGGAAAGUUUCGGCGGUUGGGGAUGGACUCGCGGCUUAUCAGCUUGUUGGUGGGGUAGUGGCUUACCAAGGCUUUGACGGGUAGCCGGCCUGAGAGGGUGACCGGCCACAUUGGGACUGGGAGACGGCCCGGACUCCUACGGGAGGCAGCGGGGGGGAAUAUUGCACAAUGGGCGGAAGCCGGAUGCAGCAACGCCGGGUGCGGGAUGACGGCCUUCGGGUUGUAAACCGCUUUCGCCUGUGACGAAGCGUGAGUGACGGAAAUGGGUAAAGAAGCACCGGCGAACUACGU
rnacentral:rRNA from 1 species